rnacentral:rRNA from 1 species
GAUGAACGCUGGCGGCGUGCCUAAUACAUGCAAGUCGAGCGAACAGACGGGGAGCUUGCUCCUCUGACGUUAGCGGCGGACGGGUGAGUAACACGUGGAUAACCUACCUAUAAGACUGGGGUAACUUCGUGAAACCGGAGCUAAUACCGGAUAAUAUAUUGAACCGCAUGGUUCAAUAGUGCAUGACGGUUUUGCUGUCACUUAUAGAUGGAUCCGCGCCACAUUAGCUAGUUGGUAAGGGAACGGCUUACCAAGGCGACGAUGCGUAGCCGACCUGAGAGGGUGAUCGGCCACACAGGAACUGAGACACGGUCCAGACUCCUACGGGAGGCAGCAGUAGGGAAUCUUCCGCAAUGGGCGAAAGCGUGACGGAGCAACGCCGCGUGAGUGAGGAAGGGCUUCGGAUCGUAAAACGCUGUUAUUAGGGAAGAAAAAAUGUGUAAGUAACUAUGCACGUCUUGACGGUACCUAAUCAGAAAGCCACGGCUAACUACGUG